AUUGAACGCUGGCGGCAGGCUUAACACAUGCAAGUCGAGCGGAGAUGAGGUGCUUGCACCUUAUCUUAGCGGCGGACGGGUGAGUAAUGCUUAGGAAUCUGCCUAUUAGUGGGGGACAACAUUCCGAAAGGAAUGCUAAUACCGCAUACGUCCUACGGGAGAAAGCAGGGGAUCUUCGGACCUUGCGCUAAUAGAUGAGCCUAAGUCGGAUUAGCUAGUUGGUGGGGUAAAGGCCCACCAAGGCGACGAUCUGUGGCGGGUCUGAGAGGAUGAUCCGCCACGCUGGGACUGAGACACGGCCCAGACUCCUACGGGAGGCAGCAGUGGGGAAUAUUGGACAAUGGGGGGAACCCUGAUCCAGCCAUGCCGCGUGUGUGAAGAAGGCCUUAUGGUUGUAAAGCACUUUAAGCGAGGAGGAGGCUACUGAGACUAAUACUCUUGGAUAGUGGACGUUACUCGCAGAAUAAGCACCGGCUAACUCUGUGCCAGCCGCCGCGGUAACAC
rnacentral:rRNA from 1 species